rnacentral:sRNA from 1 species
AUCUACUUUAUGGGAGGCGUAUUAUCGGCGAGCUGGACGCUAUGUUAAAUGAGCACAAUGACUUAUUGAAAUUAUUCAAAUCACACAUGCACAAGCUAAAAAGUGUCAAUCACGCUAUUGUCAUCAAUCCUGAUAGAACACCAGCUGGAGAGAAUAUACGCACCUGUUUUUAACGACGUUGCUGGAAUCAUGGUUGGUGACCGUACAGCUAUGCGACAAAUGUUAAUUCGAAGAAGAAAUAAUGAUUUUCAGUUCAUCAGUGUCACUCACCGUUCAUAUGACGCCCUCCAAUAUCCAUUAAUUUUUUGGAAGGGACAAGACGGAUAUUGCGUUAAUAUUAAACGAGAUCUCGUAACAGGAGGCGAAACAAAUAAGAACGUAAAGUAUUUGGCGGCUCUCUGUUACUCCUUUCAGGUGAUUUCAGACAAACUCUUCAAAUUAUUCCACGUUCAACGUACGCUGAUGAAAUCAAUGCUUGCUUAAAAUCGUCGCGACUGUGGCGUAAUGUUGAAAAAGUACAACUGACGAAGAACAUGCGCGUUCAAAUGCUUCGGGAUCCACCCGCCGAAACUUUCUCUAAACAACUGUUAUAUAUUGGCGAGGGAAAAUUGCUGUACAUGAAAAUACUGGAUGUAUAAAAUUAUAAACGGACUUCUGCACAAUCGUCGACUCGCAAAAUACUCUCAUUGAUCGAAUAUUGCCUAAUGUACACACAUAAUAUGAAAAUCAUAAGUUGUUGGCAGAAA